AUUUCUCUGGAGAUUCUUCUUUUUCGCUUUGUUUACUAAGUGCUGCAGGAUUUGACUCAUUCUUUCAAGUUUCCACGAGGUUUUAUUUGCAUCUUUGUAUACAACAUAAAAGAAACAACUGUGUUGAUGAAAAACUGUUGCAGAGAACACAAGAGAAUACCGUCUUCGGGGGUACUGAAAUUUCAACCUUGAACGCUUAUUCAAGUUGUGUUAAACGAAGAAAAUGCCAUGUAAAAAGCUUGCAACCUUUGUUUGUUUUUCUAAGGGAUAACAAGGUUCCACAACCAUCU
rnacentral:misc_RNA from 1 species